GUGGGGAAUUUUGGACAAUGGGCGAAAGCCUGAUCCAGCCAUGCCGCGUGCAGGAUGAAGGCCUUCGGGUUGUAAACUGCUUUUGUACGGAACGAAAAGACUCCUUCUAAUAAAGGGGGUCCAUGACGGUACCGUAAGAAUAAGCACCGGCUAACUACGUGCCAGCAGCCGCGGUAAUACGUAGGGUGCAAGCGUUAAUUGGAAUUACUGGGCGUAAAGCGUGCGCAGGCGGUUAUAUAAGACAGAUGUGAAAUCCCCGGGCUCAACCUGGGAACUGCAUUUGUGACUGUAUAGCUAGAGUACGGUAGAGGGGGAUGGAAUUCCGCGUGUAGCAGUGAAAUGCGUAGAUAUGCGGAGGAACACCGAUGGCGAAGGCAAUCCCCUGGACCUGUACUGACGCUCAUGCACGAAAGCGUGGGGAGCAAACAGGAUUAGAAACCCUUGUAGUCC
rnacentral:rRNA from 1 species